rnacentral:tRNA from 1 species
GGAAGGGUCGCAUAGUGGCCUAGUGCGCGCGCUUGGAGAGCGCGUAUCGCCGCAAGGUGAUCGCGGGUUCAAAUCCCGCCCCUUCCG